AGCUUUGCGCAGUGGCAGUAUCGUAGCCAAUGAGGUUUAUCCGAGGGGUGAUUAUUGCUAAUUGAAAACUUUUCCCAAUAUCCCGCCAUGACGACUAGCAAUAUAGUUGGCAUUGGCAAUUUUUGACAGUCUCUACAGAGA
rnacentral:snRNA from 1 species